rnacentral:rRNA from 1 species
GACGAACCGAGCGAACGUUGUUCGGAAUCACUGGGCUUAAAGGGCGCGUAGGCGGGCGGUCAAGUCGAGGGUGAAAGCCCCCAGCUCAACUGGGGAAGUGCCUCCGAUACUGGCCGUCUCGAGGGGGAUAGGGGCGUGCGGAACUUCCGGUGGAGCGGUGAAAUGCGUAGAUAUCAGGAGGAACACCAAUGGCGAAGGCAGCUCGCUGGGACGUGACUGACGCUGAGGAGCGAAAGCGUGGGGAGCGAACAGG